GAUAGCCGGGCCUCGCGCAACGGCAAGCCGUGAACCCCGCCAGGUCCGGAAGGAAGCAACGGCAGCGGCCCCCGCCGUGUGCCGCGGGCAAGCCCGGCUAUCAUCU
rnacentral:SRP_RNA from 1 species